rnacentral:rRNA from 1 species
AUUGAACGCUGGCGGCAUGCUUUACACAUGCAAGUCGAACGGUAACAGGCCGCAAGGUGCUGACGAGUGGCGAACGGGUGAGUAAUGCAUCGGAACGUGCCCAGUCGUGGGGGAUAACUACUCGAAAGAGUAGCUAAUACCGCAUACGAUCUAUGGAUGAAAGCGGGGGACCGUAAGGCCUCGCGCGAUUGGAGCGGCCGAUGUGAGAUUAGGUAGUUGGUGGGGUAAAGGCUCACCAAGCAAACGAUCUGUAGCUGGUCUGAGAGGACGACCAGCCACACUGCGUCUGAGGCACGACCCAGACUACUACGGGAGGCAGCAGUGGGGAAUUUUGGACGAUAGGCGCAAGCCUGAUCAAGCAAUGCCGCGUGCAGGAAGAAGGCCUUCGGGUUGUAAACUGCUUUUGUACGGAACGAAACGGCUCUGGUUAAUACCCGGGGCUAAUGACGGUACCGUAAGAAUAAGCACCGGCUAACUACGUG